GACGUAGGGGGCAAGCGUUGCUCGGAAUCACUGGGCGUAAAGGGUGCGUAGGCGGGUCUUUAAGUCAGGGGUGAAAUCCUGGAGCUCAACUCCAGAACUGCCUUUGAUACUGAAGAUCUUGAGUUCGGGAGAGGUGAGUGGAACUGCGAGUGUAGAGGUGAAAUUCGUAGAUAUUCGCAAGAACACCAGUGGCGAAGGCGGCUCACUGGCCCGAUACUGACGCUGAGGCACGAAAGCGUGGGGAGCAAACAGG
rnacentral:rRNA from 1 species